GUCUACAGCCAUACCACCCUGAACGUGCCCAAUCUCAUCUCAGUUCGGAAGCUAAGCAGAGUUGGGCCUGGUUAACAUCUGGAAGGGCCUUUAAUGCCAGCCUGGGAUACUAAAGAUC
rnacentral:rRNA from 1 species